UACCAGCACCCCGAGUGGUCGGGACGUUUAUUGGGCCUAAAGCAUCCGUAGCCGGUUCUACAAGUCUUCCGUUAAAUCCACCUGCUUAACAGAUGGGCUGCGGAAGAUACUAUAGAGCUAGGAGGCGGGAGAGGCAAGCGGUACUCGAUGGGUAGGGGUAAAAUCCGUUGAUCCAUUGAAGACCACCAGUGGCGAAGGCGGCUCGCCAGAACGCGCUCGACGGUGAGGGAUGAAAGCUGGGGGAGCAAACCGG
rnacentral:rRNA from 1 species